AUUGUGUGAUUCAAUUGGGACUCCACCAACAAAUUCUGCUGGCAGUGAGUCGGUGCCUCAAAUCAGCCAAGGGGUAAGCCAAAGACAAUCUUCAGGCAACUUGGCUCCAACAGGGCCUGAUAGUUUCAACUGGCAGCAAAAAUCCUCCCAGUUGCAACCUCCUUCCUCAGUGACCCAGCCACAGUUGCAGCAGCAGCUUUCACCAUUGCAACAUUCACAAGAACAGGCUCAGAUUCUGCAAGCAGGGAAUAGCAGUUCGUUUGCUAGGUCCAAUGACUGUAGACUGGAUUAAACCACCUUCAACAGAUAAAGGAUAAUUCCUUUUUGGCUAAUCAGUCCCUGAAUGGGUCAGCAUGCCUGGGAAACAGCGGUGUACAGAUGAAGCUCGUUGUCCCUGAGGGCAUCACCUUAUGCAAGUUGGUGAAUUUUCAAGGUUUAGCAAUACUAGAGGGACGUCUGCUUAAAUAUUGGGUUCUGUAUAUUAUUGUCGCCCUAGAGCCUCAGGAAGGUAGGGACAUAUAUAGAGGUACGUGUACAGGAUUUUAUCCUUUUCCUUUUUUUCCUUUUGAUGUUACUUAUUUCACUUUCGUAAAAGCCCCUUGUUUCACCGGCUCACGGAGGGAUUCCUAUUUUGAUUUUGUCCCCAUAGAUCAUCCCAUGUAUUAUUGCCCGUUUUGUAUUCAAGGGGGUAGUUAUCAUUUUUUGGCCGAAGGCUGUGGGAAAUUUUGUGAAUAUUAGUCUUAUGUAUACUCCAUAUUUGUUAGAACAGUCAUCAUACAUGACUGCACCUUCCUCGUAGCCUUCGCAAUUCUUGUAAAUUGUUCCUCUUUGCAUUUGGCAAAUCUUUAAUGAGAUGCAUUCGCUGCUGUGUUUGCUUUUGAAUCA